rnacentral:rRNA from 1 species
CCUACGGGAGGCAGCAGUGAGGAAUAUUGGUCAAUGGGCGGAAGCCUGAACCAGCCAAGCAGCGUGCAGGAUGACGGCCCUACGGGCUGUAAACUGUUUUUAUACGGGAAUAACACGCCUUUCGUGUAGGGCCUUGCCUGUACCGUAUGUAACAGGACCGGCUAAUUACGUUCCAGCAGCCCCGGUAAUACGGAAGGUCCGGGGGUUAUCCGGAUUUAUUGGGUUUAAGGGGAGCGUAGGCCGCAUGUUAUGCGUGCUGUGAAAUGUCCGGGCUCAACCCGGGCCUGGCAGCGCGAACUGGCGGGCUUGAGUGCGCGGAAGGCAGGCGGAAUUCGUCGUGUAGCGGUGAAAUGCUUAGAUAUGACGAAGAACCCCGAUUGCGAAGGCAGCUUGCUGCAGCGGAACUGACGCUGAUGCUCGAAAGCGCGGGUAUCGAACAGGAUUAGAUACCCGUGUAGUC